AACUCAAAGGAAUUGACGGGGGCCCGCACAAGCGGUGGAGCAUGUGGUUUAAUUCGAAGCAACGCGAAGAACCUUACCAGGUCUUGACAUCCCCUGACAACCCAAGAGAUUGGGCGUUCCCCCUUCGGGGGGACAGGGUGACAGGUGGUGCAUGGUUGUCGUCAGCUCGUGUCGUGAGAUGUUGGGUUAAGUCCCGCAACGAGCGCAACCCUUGCCUCUAGUUGCCAGCAUUCAGUUGGGCACUCUAGAGGG
rnacentral:rRNA from 1 species